AGUGAAUGAGAGAGAGAGAGAAAAAAUACGAUCCAAGGAAGUUAAAACCUGUGAGAUGAGGGGAGUUAGAGAGAAAACACAAGCGAAGGGACGUGAAAGGUGAGAAGUCAGGCCAUGCAGGUGGAGAGAGAAAAAUGGAGCCGGUAUUGCUGGCAGAUGACCAGUUCUGAUACAAAGAGCUAGUUCCCCAAAGUUGCUAAAUUCCGUAUUGAGCCCGGAAGACAACAGGGGUGCCCGAUGGAAGAUGAAAUGUUAUUCCUCAUCUUACAUUGGCCUAGUUUAUAACAGUGCAGGGGACCACAGGCAGAUAUGUCGGUGUGGGAGUAGAAUGGAGAAUUAAAGUGAAUUAACCCGAAGCUCAGGGUCCGACCUUGUCACUAAACAAGGUGCUCCACAAAGUGGUUAUCGAAUCUGUGUUUGAUUUUUCCAGUGCAUUGUAAGCAUCAAGUGCAGUGCACUAGGCUGAAAGAAGUGACAAUGAAUCACUGCAUCAUUUGGAAGGACGGUUUGGUGAGCAGAGUAAAAGGACAGAUGUUGCAUCUCUUGUGGGCCUGUAUCGCGUCCAUGAUGUUUUCUAUCUUUUCUAUGGUGGCUGAAAUAUUAAUCACAGCAUUCUCCAACUCUGCCACCCUCAAACCAGUCUGAAGUGCACCAAACCAUUUGAGUCUGGAUGGAUGGGUAGAUCAGCAAAAUCGGAAAUAGUGAAGUUGUGUUCAUUGUCUUCACAAGGAAUCUGGAAGACCAUGUGUCGCGAAAGUUAUUCUCAACUUCAAAAUCCUUGCUGGAGAUAUAGAAGCAUCUAUGGGAAUUGCCUCUACUGACUUUGUUUAUCUAAAACUUUUAUAAUAAUUUUUCGCACAAAUGCACCAGCAAAGUUCACAUAGUUCCUUUAUCAUGGUUUAGCCGUCCAGGCCACUAACUGAGAGACCUGCUGGUGGACCUUUGCAACGCUCUUGAUGUUCCUGACAUUCUUUCAUUUUCCUCCACUUCUCACCUAUUUCGGGGCACAAGACAAACCUUGUCACAAUUCGCUUGAUAGGAGUUAUAUCUAGACGUUUUUAGUGCUUCAUAACAGUUGCUCCUACUUGUGGAACAACAACUCUGGAUUACCCAAAGAGCCAUAUUAUUCUGGUUGGUUAAUUUGUAUGUGAUAACAAUGUGUCAUCUAUUUUCCUCCCCAUCCAUGCUGAAUUUGUUAAGACACUCAUUAGUCAUGUUUUGUCAUGGCAGCAUUACUGUCCAUGUAUUCCAGUAAUGACACAAUCUCACCCGGUAUUAGUGUCCUACAUGGAGGUUCACCAAUUAGCAGUCAGCACAGGGCAUUUGAUUUCUGAUUGUACAGUCCAUUCUUGCAUUUCAGAAUAUAAUCAUUUGCAGCCAGGGCAACGUCACAAUUUAAUGAACAAAAUCACAAGAACCUGUGAAAUCAGCAGCAAGUGCUGUGACUCUUGGAAGUCAGCUUCUUGUUUUUUGUCCACUUCUAUAUUGCCUUGUGAUUCAGUACUAGUUUAGAAAUCCUAAAGGUGGAGGAAGUGUCCAUAGUGGCUGAGAAGUCUGCGGUUUCAGAUCUGUCAAGUUAGGCGUGGUGCAUCCACAAUUACUUUAAUAUUGUCAGCUACUUGGAGAGUCUUUCAGAAUCUCCCCUAUAAUUGAUUUAGACUAUUUGUGAAACAGUCAUGAAAUACUUGUCUUUCUUCAACCACACUCCUGUAUCUCAGAAUCAAAAUAUCUUGUAGAUUAUCCUUGUGUUCCUGCUUUAACUUUCUGGACACCAAAAUAGCAUCUAGGUAGCCUACAACACCUGACAAAAUUUAAAUCAAGCUAUAAUGUUCAAGCUAUAAGUCAUGCUUUACCCAAAUUUGAACAUCGUGAGGUUUCAACUGAUAUGAACAUAGUUUACUUUGAAAUUUAAAACACCAUUUGGUGUAUUUAAUUGAUAUAUCGGGUCAGCUCAUUUUCAAGGCUGAAUAAAGCAUUCCAAAACACAGCAUACUUAUUUACUAAUUGGUCAGCCUGUACCUUAUCUGUCCAAAUAUUGAUUCCAUUUCCAAAUCUGUGGAAUCCAUUUAAUAAACAUUUGUCCAGCAUUAAAUCCACUGAAUAUUUUCUUUUGAUGCUUAAUGCCAUUUAGGUUCUUGAGCAGUGGAGAAGGCAUCAACUGCCAUUGGAGAUCACAGAUGCUUAUCUGAAUAUGUAGAUAAUGUCUAAUGACAGAUUACUGGCCAUCCACUGGAUUCUUGAGCUAAGCAGCACUACUUCUACUCUGCUGACAAAUAGGCCAAAGUGAAAAUCUACUUCAACAUAUCUUGUUGAAUCGGGAGUUAUUAGCAUUUGUUUUGUUGACUUAAUUGAUUUCAUCUUCACUUUGUGGGUUGCAGCUUAAUUCUGACUCCCACUAUAUCUGGAGAAAAUCAAUCAAAUGGCAGCCACUGACAAUGAUAAGAGUCCAUUGAUCUGGCCCAUUAUACUGAUUUAUUUCACAUGGUUAAAGAUACAUAUAACAAAUUACGUGAAAUUAUAAAGUGUUGAAAAUAAACUUGACUCCAUCAAUAUUUCAUCUUGUGGCGACUCACCGUUUAGUUGGGCGAACCAGCUCGGCAGUCGGGUCGCGCAGCGUCGGAGCGACGAGGCCCAAGAUGGCGGCAGGCCUCGUCUUUCCCGAGCGACGGGGAGAACCCGCGCGCGGGAAAGUCUUGAUGACGUAGUACUUACGUCAUUGCUGGUUGCUUUGGGCGGGAACAGUCUCCCUUAAAGGGCCCGCGCAAGGCGGGAAAAUAAACCACUUCUUGUUCGACCAUCCUCCAACUAGCGUUUUGUUUUAUUUCGCAGUAGCAACCGCUACAAUCUGAAUAAAACAUAAAUAUUUACUCUUUUGUUUCCCUUUACAGUACUUUCAUCUUUGAUUCCUCCAUCCCUUAUGGCCAUGAAACAAUUUCUUUGUUAAUAUUUCCCAAUGCGGCUGGUAAAAACUGAAACUUUGUUUAUCAUUCUAGUACACAGUAGCUUUUGCCCAAGCAUUUCAGUAGCUGGAACUUGUUCAC